rnacentral:lncRNA from 1 species
CCCUGGCUCCUCUCCAAAAUCUGGCCCCUCUCCCAGAUCGGGCCCCAUCCCCAACUACAGAGGCCCCCAGGCCUCCCCAGAAGGCUCCCCCUGGCAGGGUCUCAGGCCGCCAAGGAUCAGGCUGCUCUCAGGGAGAGUGGACCCUGCAGAUGGGAAGGGAAGCACUAGGCUGGGGAAUGGGGCCCCUGAAAUGGAAGGAGCUAUGCUUGGGUACCCAGUCUGGGUAUGGGUGGAG